UUGUGCGUGACCUUGUGCUUCGAGUGCGAGCGCGACGUGCACCCCGGGAGAGCGCGCUCAAUAAUGCAUGCGCGUCAUUAGAAACCGGAGAAGAGCCGUUAUUUCCCGCGUCAGGAGUCAGGGCGAGCCUAGGUGGUGACAGUUCAGUUCAGUCAGUGUCCAUCGCGCCUGAAGUUACACACGGAAAGCUGUGAAGACGUGAACGGUAAUAACAUAAGGGAGAACAUGUUACUAUACUACAGCAACAGCAUAAGGUGUUCCACUGCAGACAGUAUCUGGCGGGUGUAUCUGCGCACCUCUCUCUCCUCCAGCCUCUUACGGUCACAGAUGCGGUCCAUCAGAUCUCCUCCACCGCACAGCUCCAUAGCCAUGUAGUAGCAGUUCUCAGUCUCCAGCGUCUCCAACAGCAAGACGAUGUUCGGGUGCCUGAUCAGCUGGUGAAUCCUCGGUUCGCGCUUCAUGUUCUUUAAAACAGCUGUUGACAAAAAAAGAGAAGAAAAGACGGAGAAGUGCGACGCCCGAAAGCCAGAAGUAAUUCAGCAUCAGACGUUUUACGAUGGAAACUUCAGCGAAAUGAUGACAUUCCACUUUUUCCACUUUAUGUCUGAUGGUGGCGCCACACAGCCAGCAUGAGGUGAUUGUGUCAUUACUAAUCUGUGUCAUUUGCUCUCAGGAGUCUUGAUGUUUGACAUUAAAAUGAUUGUUUUUUCGUUU